rnacentral:rRNA from 1 species
UACGUAGGGGGCUAGCGUUGCUCGGAAUCACUGGGCGUAAAGGGUGCGUAGGCGGGUAUUUAAGUCAGAUGUGAAAGCCCCGGGCUCAACCUGGGAAUUGCAUUUGAGACUGAAUAGCUAGGGUGCGGAAGAGGGAAGCGGAAUUUCCGGUGUAGCAGUGAAAUGCGUAGAUAUCGGAAGGAACAUCAGUGGCGAAAGCGGCUUCCUGGUCCAGCACCGACGUUCAGGCACGAAAGCGUGGGGAGCAAACAGG